UCUCUACUUGCGUAGGCAGUCUCCUUAAAGUGCUCAACUGAAUGUUUGCAACUAAGGAUAGGGGUUGCGCUCGUUGCGGGACUUAACCCAACACCUCACAGCACGAGCUGACGACAGCCAUGCAGCACCUCUAUAAGAUCUCGAUUUUACGAGUCAUUUGACUUUCAUCUCCUUACUCCUUAUACUUCAAGCCCAGGUAAGGUUUUUCGCGUUGCAUCGAAUUAAACCACAUGAUCCACCGCUUGUGCGGGCCCCCGUCAAUUCCUUUGAGUUUCAACCUUGCGAUCGUACUUCCCAGGUGGUAUGCUUAUCAGGUUACCUACGACACCGAAUUUCUCCGAUAUCAAGCAUACAUCGUUUAAGGCGUGGACUAC
rnacentral:misc_RNA from 1 species